rnacentral:lncRNA from 1 species
UUGGGGGGCAAAAUUUCUCUUCAAAAUUUGAAUGGUGCCAAUCACAUUAAUUGUGAUGCCCAAUAAUGACUCUUUGGAGAGAUCACGAAUAAUGCUAAUGACGUAAAAUGAGUGGAAUGAAUGUAUGCAAUGUGAAAAUAUGAGUUUGUGUGAAGUGGAAAAGUAAUAUAAAAAACAAUAGUGUGUAAGUGGAAGUGUGCAAAUGGAUGUGCAAAGUAAUGUGAGUAAAGUGAUAGUAUGAAGUGCGUGUGUGCACGUGAUAGUAUAUAAAGUGUAAGUGGCAAAGUGAAAACGUGCAAAAUAAAAGUUGUGUGAAGUGAAAAUGUGGAAAAAUGGAUAGAAUAUGAAGUAAAAGUGAAUGUGAUAGUGGAUAAAUGAAAUGCAUGAAUCCUAGAGGAAUGCAAGUAAGACGGGUACGGGGGACUAAUGGUCGUGACUCAAUUCUCCCUUUUAAUAGAGGGAAUACGAGCGUGCUAAGGUUAGAAAGCCAAACUCGUCCAUAUCCCAUAUCCAAGGGGUGACUCCCUAACCUAUACAAGCAAAUGAGCUAAUCUAAAUGAAAAUGUAAUCCUAAAUGUGUAAGGGAAAGGGAGUGAAGGGUCAUGCAAAAAUGAAAAAAACUAAAAGGAAAGAAUGAAUGGAGAUGUAGUGAAGGCAUGCGAGUAUGUACUAGCGAGAAGGGGCCCUAUUGGGUCUAGCGUUGGACUAGCCCACGUCUACGCUCUCUCACAAGCAUUGGACUUGUAAGAGCUCGAGGGGACAACCAUGACUAGCGUUGAACUAGCCACGGUUACGUGCAUUUGCAUCCAUCAUACACACAUAUAAGCAACGUGCAUAAUUAAAGCAAGUAGACAUGUGAGCACGUAAUUCACAUAACACAUAAGCAUGCAUAUCUAGAUGCCAAAACCUAAGAAAGCGAUUAAACACAUAGCACAUAGACAUGCAAAACACAUAAGGCAAUUAAGGCCCUAACUAUUACAUUUUUAGGGGAAAAGGCCUACUACAAUCUAAAAGGGGGAAAUGGAAUGAAAUAAAUAGUUAAAAUGAAUCUAACUAUUACAAUUGUGGCAUUCAAGUGCCUUCCCAAAUGAUCAAAAUUGAAAAUAACUAAAAACAAAUAAAAUGGAUAAAUAAAUAAAUAAAUAAAUAAAUAAAAAAAAUGGAAAAAAAACAUUCAAAGGGCAUGCAAUUGAGCACAUAAAUCACAUAAACACAGAGGGUCAAAGAAAGGUAAAUAAGGGAUAGGGCGUACCUCUCUUGCAAUGGUAAUCAAAUGAAGGAAAAAGAGCUUCAAAAUAAUAAAAAGGUUAAGGCACCAAUUAAAUAGUAAAAUCAAUCAUAAAGUCCACAAGAAUAAAUGAAAGUCAAUUUGCUACAUUCAAAUCACGAAAUACCCAAAAUUCCACUUAGGAUCCAAAUCACAACUAAAAUAUAUCAAAAACACAUUAAACAUUCAAAUUCCAUCCAUAUCACAACUAAAAUAUAUCAAAAACACAUUAAACAUUCAAAUUCCAUCCCAAUAUUCCUAAACAACCUGUCCAAAAAUCUUAUUAGAGCAUAUCAAAGGAAAUUCACAUUUAAAAGGUCCCAAAUCGAUUGAUUUUCCAAAGUUUCUGGGCCUUAGAAUAAUUAGUUUAAAAAAUUGGGGUUUAAAGUGUAACUUUUUAGAAUUAUUUCCAUGCAUGCUACGUAGAAACAAUUCUACAAACAGGAGCUAUUCUCCUACAACCUUCACAUCCGCAAGCUUUUUCAUUUCUGAGUUUUCACAUGCAGCUCUUAGACACAAUUUGAAGCGCACAACUACUACUUCAAUCAAACCAAAUUUGAAUCAAACAACAAGAACUCUCGGGUUUAAACAGAGGAGAAGAAAAAAUCAGAACAGAAGAGCGUGCAAAUCUGUUUUUUUUUUUACAAUUUAUGUCUUCAUUUCUCUCUUCCGAAAUUCAUUAUCAAACUUGCACAUGAUGCAGAUCAGUCCCAAGCCAUCGAAAAUGCACAACUUAUACUUAUUACCGCUAAAAAACAGCAUUAACAAAAAGAGGGAGGGGGUAGCAACUGGGGAAACAGCAGAAAACGGACCUGCCGAAUGCAUUGCAGCCAGCAAACACAAAAAAAAAAAAAAACAAUCAAACAAAUCAAAACUCAUGCGACCGAGCAUCACAUUCGGCGAAGCCGCUGCAAUUUCGUUUCUUUUUAUUUGGCUGAAACAUGCUCAGUGAUUCAAAUGAAUCCUAACUCACUCAACCGCACAACUAGAGUCAAACGUCAUACAGAUUCAAGAGAAAUGUGCAAAUCUGUAAAAAACAAAAGGGCUGCAACUUUCCUCCUUCAGCCGAAAUACAUUGAUGCAACCUAACUUAAACAAAUCUCAACUCAUUCAACAACCACUGCAAGAAUCCGGGACAAGGGGAAGAGGAAAAAUUCAACGAGGCUCUUGGACAUAAAAUGCAGCAAAAUGGAAAGAAAGAAAACUGCAAAUGACUAAACCAACAAAUGACAAAGAGAGGCACUAUAAGACUAGUUCAGAAGAGUACCUGAUGAAGCCUUUUGGAUCAAAAUCAGGUCAGGAAUUUCCAUGAAAAGCUGCUGGAUUGGCUUCAUGGCGAUUUCGAACCCGCACCCGCGAAGCCAAGCUGAUGAUUUGGGAGCCAGAUUCAACGGCUUUCCAGGUGCUUUCUGUGAACCAUUUCUGAACAAGAAUUCUUCCCCUGGCUUCGUAGUUGAUGCAGAAACCAAAAUCCAAUCGAAUUAAACAACUGUAAAGGAGAUAAUCAUGCCGCAAAGGGUGCCGAAAACCAGCCUGUUCUGCCGAAAUUUUUGCAGAAAAUCAUUUCUGGUUCUGGCUUUCUUUACCGCCGCCACUUUUGCUUGGCUUUUCUUUCCUUCUCCCUCAGUCUUUCUAGCCGUCACUCCUUGCUCUUGCUCCCUCAGCCCUUUUGUUUUCUCAGCCGCUAUUCUUUUUUGCUUCAGUUUUCAGCCGUCAAUCAAAGUCCCUCGAUGAAGGUCUGCCGGCGUUGAUGGAGGGCUGAAGUGGUGGCAGUAGUGAAGGUUAAUGGUUCCAACGGCCCUUUUGCUCCGUGGGGAAGUGACACCAGACCUCCUCUCUUCCUUGCUCAGAAAACUUUCUUCCGUUGCUCUGAAACCCAGCCCUUUUCCCUUAGAUUUUUCAGAUUGUUCCCUCUCUCCCAAGUUCUCAAUCUCUCUUUUCUUCUCCACCACCUUCCCUCAGCCGUCCCUCAACUUUUCUCUCUGUUUGACUUCAGCCGCAACACCACACUUCCUCGGGUUUCUUUCUCCGCUGUUUUUCUUUUAGCUGAAGCUCUUUUUUCUUAACCCGCCGUCCCCUUCAUUUCCUUUUCUGGUUUUUCCCCUCCAAAGCCCAUGGGUUUUUCUCUUACUCUCCCCUACCUCACUCUAUCCUCCCACUCUAGGCCUCUGUCUAACCCUCGCCGCCUUUUUUCCCGUAGCUCUCAAAGCUGUUUUUCCUCCUGCGUAGCUUUCUCCCUUUUCCCGUAACUUCCCCUCCAGUUUUCUUCUAUUUUCCAUUUUUCUUUCAGCCGCAAGCCCCCUCUUAGCUCUCUCUCGGUCACUCCCUGCCUUUCCUUUUUCCAUAGCCGCCCCUCGAUGCUCUCUUCAUUUUUCUCUCUCUCUCUCCCUCCAACCUCAGCCGUCAUAUGUUUUAUUCUCUCACCCUCAGCCGUCACUCCUCCCCCUCCCUCCUUGGCUGCGGCUGUUUUCCCACAGCUUUUAUACCAGCAACUUACUCCCGAAACCUAUAAUCUAAGGCACACAAAUAAACUCCAUUUUUUUUGCACAUUUUUACAACCUUAGAUCUUCAUGAUUUAUGACAAACCUUGGAUCAAACUAGGGACUUUUGUUGGAACGAAUCAGACGGAGGAGAAAAAUGGAGUGAAUAAAUGAAACUGGAAUUUUCUUCGCAGCUUUGUACCUUGUGCUUGCAAAAAUGAAGGCAAGGGUUCGGAUCCUGUGUGGCUCACACCCGUGUGAGCUUGCUCUUUUUUUUUAUAAUAACUUAAUAAAAAUGAAAAUAACAUCAAAUAAAAUGAGCAAAAUUGGGAAUAAAAGAUAAAAUGCCAAAAGAUUUUCUACUUGUUGAUUUUCUCUUCUUUUCUUUUUUUUCUUUUUUUCUUUUACCUGAAAUCUAGUAUGUAGAAAAAAUGCUUUUAACCUUAAAUCAAACAAAAAUAAGAGACCCGAGGACAAAAUAAUAAAAAUAAACAUAAACAUAAACAUAAAAAAAAUAAAAAACCUAAAAUUAAAACAAAUAAAGCUAUAAAUUAAAUUAAUUAAACCAAUAAAGUUAAAAAAUCAAAAAUUCGGUGUCUACAGUUUGCCCCUCUUUGUCUGAGUUUUGGAAAAACUUGAGACAAAGAAAUAGACACCAAAUACUUACCUGUGUUAUUCGGCUGCGAACGCUUCGAACGACUGACGCUUUCUGAAAUAGGGAUUGACCCCUUUAACAAAAAUUUUAAAAAGAAUGGGACUGACCUAGAUGAGAAAUUUAAAACGAGACUGACCUGAACAAGAAAUUUAAAAGGGGACUGACUCCAACAAGAAAAUUUAAAUCAUGGGACUGACCCAAACAAACAUUAAAAUCAUGGGACUGGCCCGAAUAAAAUUAAAUCAUGGGACUGACCCGAACAAAAAAUUAAAUUUAAAAUCAUGGGACUGACCCGAAUAAAAUUUAAAAUCAUGGGACUGGCCCGAAUAAAAUUUAAAAUCAUGGGACUGACCCGAAAAAAAUUUAAAAUCUUGGGACUGACCCGAACAAAAUUUAAAAUCAUGGGACUGGCCCGAAUAAAAUUUAAAACCAUGGGACUGACCCGAAUAAAAUUUAAAAUCAUGGGACUGACCCGAAUAAAAUUUAAAACCAUGGGACUGGCCCGAAUAAAAUUUAAAAGCAUGGGACUGACCCGAAUAAAAUUUAAAAUCAUGGGACGGACCCGAACAAGAAAUUUAAAAGGGGACUGACCCCAACAAGAAAAUUUAAAUCAUGGUAUGUACACUAGUAGGACUAACCCAACGGCUAGUGGCAAAAAAACUAACAUGCACGCUAGUGGGACUGACCCCUGUUUAGCGGCAAUGAAAAAUAAAAUACUCACUGGUGGGACUGACCCAUGUUCAGUGGCAAUGAAACAUGAAAUGCACAUUAGUGGGACUGACCCAACGGCUAGUGGCGGAAAAAAAAAAAUGCGCACUAGUGGGACUGACCCAACGGCUAGUGGCGAUGCAAAAUGAAAUGCUCACUAGUGGGUCUGACCCAACGGCUAGUGGCAGUAUAAAAUAAAGUGCUCACUAGUGGAACUGACCCAACGGCUACUGGCAGAAUAGAAGAAAUGCGCACUAGUGGGACUGACCCAACGGCUAGUGGCGAUGCAAAAGAAGUGCGCACUAGUGAGACUGACCCAACGGCUAGUGGCAGUAUAAAAUAAAGUGCUCACUAGUGGGACUGACCCAACGGCUAGUGGCAGUGUAAAUGAAGCGCUCACUAGUGGGAUUGAUCCAACGGCAAGUGGCGAUGCAAAAGAAAUGCUCACUAGUGGGACUAAUCCAACGGCUAGUGGCAGUGAAAAUGAAAUGCUCACUAGUGGGACUGACCCAACGGCUAGUGGCAGUAUAAAAUAAAGUGCUCACUAUUGGGACUGACCCAACGGCUAGUGGCAGAAUAAAAGAAGUGCGCACUAGUGGGACUGACCCAACGGCUAGUGGCAGUAAAAAUGAAGCGCUCACUAGUGGAACUGACCCAACAGCUAGUGGCGAUGCAAAAGAAAUGCGCACUAGUGGGACUAACCCAACGACUAGUGGCAGUGAAAAUGAAAUGCUCACUAGUGGGACUGACCCAACGGCUAGUGGCAGAAUAAAAGAAAUGCGCACUAGUGGGACUGACCCACGGCUAGUGGCGAUGCAAAAUAAAAUGCUCACUAGUGGGACUGACCCACGGCUAAUGACGAUACAAAAUAAAUGCGCACUAGUAGGAUUAACCCAACGGCUAGUGGCAGAAUAAAAGAAAUGCUGGUAUGUAUGAAGAGACUGUAUAAGACUUGUUCGAAAAAUUAUCCAAAGAUUUGCCCCAGUGUGAUGAAUUGGUCAGUGGGAUUAAACCCGAGCCUGCCAUGGUGAUCGGUCAAUGGGAUUGAACCCGAGCCUGCCUUGAUGAUCGGUCAGUGGGAUUACACCCGAGCCUGCCUUUGACAAAUUGGUCGGUCAGUAGGAUAGCACCCGAGCACGUUAGUGAGAUAGACUCGAUGCUAACGGUGGUUGAAGUCAGUGAAUUCAAUGUGGUUGUAAAGAAUGGGGAAUGGAAGGGUGCGCGGCGGGCGCUGAGAUCAAAUUGAAAUUUGUCAAGGAACAAGAAAUUAAAUUCAAGUUUGAUUUCUUGAGAAUCUUUUCAAAAAAUAAUUUUGCCCCAGUUUCCACCAAUUAUUGUGCAACUGAUCAAUUGAUUUUGCAUUACGGCAUGGUUGUUCCUCCUUGAGGCCUUGAUUCGUAAGAUUCUGACUUACGCUUCUUCGUCGAUUUCAGCCAUGGAUACAUGCACAGGGGGCUUGCCAAAGUACAACAUGCACUUCAUUUCAAAAUAUUGCAACUAUUACUAAUGUAAGAAGCAGUGUGAUUGAUUUGAAAGUCUUGCUUGACUGUUUGACGAAAUCCUCAAAUGGACUAUAAAAAUUUGCCCCAAUGUGGGCUUAUUUUACGAAAUCUUACAAAUAAAAAUUUUGCCCCAGCGUGGGCCCAUUUGAUUGCAAAAAUUGGUUUGGAUGCCUCUCCAUUUAUUUGAACAAAGUAAGAAACUGUGUUUCCUAUAUAAUGUGAAGAAAAUUGAACGUUUUGCUUAACUCAUAUAGAAAAUUUCACGAUGAAUUUCUCAAAAUAAUGCUGAAAAAGAUUUCUUCCUCACUUUUAGCAUCAGUGCUUAGGGUAACGGGUCACCACCUCUUGUUGGCUCAUCUUUCAAGACCAAUCAAGUGGGCGUUAUUUCUGAUUUGGAAGUGGCUAAAGGAAAUGGGAGGUCAAGAUUUUGUUUUAUUUUUGUGCCCAUUCAAAAUCACAUCUUAGUGAAAGCAAAUAGUUUGUCACCCUCAUUUCUUAAGAAAACGUAGUCCACAUAUAAGUUUUAUAAGCUUGCAACACAUGAGUAGAAAUGAUAGCUAAACUUGUGAAAAUUGGUUAUACCCUUAUGAUCACAAAUAAUUGAUGGAUUUCUUACGAGUAUAAUCUCACUUUGGAUCGUCAUGAGGGAUAAGUCAGCGAUGGACUUUAUGAGCUUGUAAUGUGGCUUGAAAACGAUAGUUAAAGAAUAAGACUUUCAAGGACAUUGCACCGAAGAUCGCAUUUUUCUCAAAAUUGCCCUCAUUUUGGACUCCGAGAUCUUGAAUUUCGUUUGACUUUUUAUCAUCACUCAACAGAGUCUUUUAGCAUCAAAUCUUUUUGCAUUUUUCUUUUGCAUUCAUUUUGCUCGUUUUUUCCUUUUUUCUUUUCCUUUUUUCAAGAGUGCCCUCGCGGGGUUUCACAUGAAGAGCAGUGUCAACCUCACACCUAAUCAAUUCAAAAAUACAUUCAAAAAAAUUCCUUGGCAUCAGUAUAUGAACAUCACUUGCCAAUUAGAAAAUUCCUUGACGGAGAUAUUGCAAAGAACAGAAGUCAGGACUUUCGGCUUUCAUAAUGGGAUUUGGUGGGGUGCUUAGAAAAGUUAAGGCUUGAAAGCGAAUUUCAAAAACGGUUUGAAGAAUCCGAGAUCGCAUUGUUGUAUCAACCCCCUUUUAGGGUUAAAUCAGAACUGGCCCCAAUUUAUUCUCGGUUGAGGCUUUUUCUCUUUCAUUUUCUUUCUUCUUUUGAUUUUUCGGCCUUCUGUCAUUCUUUUGAACUUUUCACAAAAUUUGCCCCAAUUUAUUUUUGAACUGAGGUUCUCUUUUCUUCUUUUGUCUUUUGAUUUUGUUGCUUUAUCACUUUCUCCUUCUUGAAACUUUUCCUUUUCAACUCAAACUUGUCCCAGUGUGGGGUUUGCGAUUCUCAGGGGUUGCCAAAUGAAGUAUUUUAUUCUGAAAGUUCAAAAGGGAUAACUAGGGAUAGAACGUUUGAUUGGAAAAGAAGAAGGCCUGACUUUUAUUCCGUUCCUUACAUUAACCCUGAAAGGAAACUUUCUUUAAUGCGAAAUUUCUUGCAUGUAUCUGAAUUAACUGACUGAGGAAGACCCUUGUUCAUCCAUAUCUGUGAAACAUAGGCGAUCCGCGCGGACAAAACUCUUUCUUUUCUUUUCUUUUCUUCUUUGAAACCCCUGCAGAAACAAAUUUCUCCAAUUUGUGAUUCUCUCUUUUCUUUUAAUUUAGCAUUUUUGCUUUUCUCCUUUUUGAAAAAUUCUCCAAUCUCCCUCCUCAAUGUGGGGUGCGAUCGUAAGUGCUUUUGAAAAGAACCAUCAAUUUUAGCUCAAAUGAGGAUGCAAGGGAUAAAUGGUGUUUAGGUUGUAGAAACGAUGGCCAAAGUAUCAUUCUUACACCUCAUGACAAUCAAAGUAACGAAAUGGUCAUUGAAAAUCCAUUCCCCUUUUGAUAUUUGAAAAUUUUCCAAUGUAGGGUAGUGAUCAUCAAUGCACUUAUUUGAAACGAAAUUAUUCUUUUAAAAGCUCAAAUGGGAGAGCAAAUGAUAAAAUCUGUGUAAGUAGAGAAACGAAUGCUCAAAAUAUCAUUCCAAAUUUCCAAAACAAACAAGAAUAACGCACGUUUUGCUUUCACUUAGAUGUGAAUUGAAUUUGGUUAAUCCAGUGGGCAUUUCUCAAGCAAAGAUCGCCCCAAUUUGUAAUUUAUCAAUCAAUGUGACUGAUUUUAUUUUGUGAUUAAGUGAAGGAGAAAAGGUAUCUCAUGGGGUCUUUUGAGUGACCACUUUUCAAUUUUGAGCACUCUUAUUGUAAGGAUUUUAGAAAGCAUACACUUGUGAAUUUUCAGGCAGAGGUUGAAAAAUCUCAGUUUGAGCUUAUUUCUUAAAAUUCAUCAUGAAAUCUCUUAAUGAGCUCAAUAAAGAAUGAAAUGUAGACAAGUAUAUACAAAACAAAUAAUUGUCUAAAUAAAAGUUUCAUUAUUGCCAAUGUUUGAGAAAAUUUUAAAGCAAUACAUAUAAGAAAAAUUCUAAAGAACUCCUUUGCACGUGUAUACACACUUUUCUCUCUUAAUAGCCCCCUUUUCCUUUAAGCAAUGAAAUCUCUUAAAUGUUUUGCACGAGCGCUUUCAGAUGAAUUUUUGAUUUCAUAUUGUAGGGUCUGCCUAAGAAUCAAAUAAUACUUGUAAUUUUCAAACUUUAUCAGAUUAAAAUUGUUAUCAGAUAUAGAAAGAUAUUUUCACCUUAUUGAAAUAUUUUUAUGAAUGCAGGGGGAAGGGGGAAAAAUAAAAGAAAAAUACCCAAAUUUAGUAAUCAAGACUAUAAAAUCGGUAUGCAUGUCCUAUGGGGGAACCCUUUUAUGCCAAGGGUAGGCCUAGCAUGAAAAUGCAAUCCUCUAGGGUAGGCACUAUACAAUACCUGAUGAAUCCGAUCAACUGAUUGAGUGAAAAAUGAUUUGAAAAAUUUGGCCAAUUUGGAGUGAGAAGAAACAUUCGUCCUAAAAAAUGAGAACAAAAUCCGAAUGGAUUGCUUACUUUGAUCAACACAUGAUAUGUGAAAGAGAGCUUACUCUUGAAAGGAUCACAAUGCCUCGACUAAUUUAUUCAGUGAAUUUUAGAUUUAAACCCUAAAAAAGGAAUAUGCGGAUCAAGAGGAUAGGAUGAAAUUGAUAAUUUAUUCAAAUUGACUAGAUUACCUUAAAAGGGUAAAAGGGUCAAAUGCAUUGCAUGAAAUUUGAUUAUUUAUUCAAAAAAAUUGAAUGGAUAACCCUAAAAAUGAAUUAAACAAAUCAAAUGAAGUGAAUGAAAUCAAUUGAUUAAGUGAAAUGAUGAUUUAUUCAAAAUCGACCGAAUUGCCCUAAAAGUGGGUAAACUGGUCAAAUGGAUCAGAUGAUUUAUUCAAAAUUGACUAGAUCACCCUAAAAAUGGUAAACUGGUCAAAUGAAAUUGAACGAAACUGAUGAUUUAUUCAAAAUUGAUUGAAUUGACUUAAGAAUGGGUAGACUAAUCAAAUGAAUUAAAUGAAAUUGGUGGUCUAUUCAAAAUCGACUAGAUUGCCUAAAAUGGGUAAACUUGUCAAAUUAAUUCAAAAUCGACUAGCUUGCCCUAAAAAUGAACAAAUUGAUAAAAUGGACUGGAUGCAAUUGGUGAAUAAAAUAGUCCAGUUGAUUGAAUAGAAUUGACAGCUUAUUUAAAAAUCAAUCUAUCCACUGGUAAUUUCAAAAAACUUAUUGCGAUGCAUUAGUCUAUGAUCCUUCUAAAAUCAAAUUUUGGCCUCAAUUUAUUUAUCGUCUCAAUAGUGAGGAAUUAUUUGUGAAUUUCUUCAAAUUAAUGUCCUUUUUGCAAGGAAUUUUUACCAAUUUUGAUAAAGUGGCCAAAAAGUGAUUAUUAGACGUUCAUAUUCCAAAGAUCGCUCUAUGAAAAUGAUCGGAUCCUACCUUACAUUGUGCACUACCCCUUUGGAUGGUACAAAAUGUAAAUGUGCAAGUCUCCUUGGAUUAAAUAUCCGAGACACAAGGCGGUUUAUUCCUAACACGGGAUCCCCUAAAUGGCGUUCCCUUUCUAUGGUUUAUACGUGAUGCUAGUUUAUUAAAGCAGCAAAAUGUGCAAUUCGAAAUGAAACGUGACCUAAGGAACCAUUUAUUUGCCAGGGUAGGCCUAAAAUGGUAUGGCAUUAUUAAUUUAUGAACAAAAUAUAUCAAAAUUUCUUAAACGUGCAAUAGGUCAUUUUCAAUGGUAGGUUCUAAAAGAAGGUCAUGCCAGACCUCUUAUUUGCUAGGGUUUGUGAAUGCAAUGUGGACAAAACCAAGAAAAGUUAGUUCAGUCAGAUAAAUACACAUAACACAUUAUAGCAACGAGAUAAAGCAAUAAAAUCAAUACAAAGAAAUAAAGCAAUAAAAGGGAAAAGGGGUUGAAUCCCUCCCCUCGUGAGUAGUGUCCCUAAUAGGGCAAAGCAGACUCUAUCCUAGGCAAAACUAUCAUGGAUGCAUGAGGCUGGGGCUCACUAAUGCAUCUAGACUCGAUAGGUUUUAGGUCCCCGAGCCUUCAGACUUGGAAACCGAGAGUCAUCAAUCCCAAGGUUCUUUGUCGGUGGCUCGAGCGAUUCCCCAGACAUUGCUACGCACACAUCGUGUCACGGCUACAUGUCAUGAGUGAAUCUAUAAAAAAUCCUCAACUUUCAACUAAAAGCUAAAGGCUAUGAACCCAAAGCUUAAAAUGGAAGAUUGAGUGACCCCUCGGAUCAUGCUACGCACACAUCGUGUCGCGAUCACAAGUCCAAGUGAGUCGCCUAAAAUCCUAAUAGGGUGGAGUGGCGUGACAAGCCACUAAAAGAAAAAUAAAUGAGGGGUGAAAAAUUAAAGCGUAUGCACGUAUGCUAGUGCUCGUUUGGAGGGGAGGGAUCAAGAACCAAUGCGAGACUCUAGGGUAAUAUCCCCCACCCAAAUGCAAUGCAAAGCGCGAAAUCACAUAAAUAAACCAUCCAUCCAUCAAAACAAUCGUAGGCGAAUGUGUGAGGAAGUGAGUUGAUACGCGCGAAAUGCGAAAAUCCUAAAAAAGGAAAAAAUGCAAUCCUAAGCAUCCAAAUGUAAUAUAUAAGAAGGUUAAAAGAAUAAAAGAAUCGACUAAAUCAAAUGCUCGGACUCUCUAAGUCCUCAGUGGAGUCACCAGCUGUCGCGCCCCAUUUUUUACAAGAAAAAUAAAUAAAUUAAAAAGCAAAUUUUUGAUUUGAAAAAUGAAUGAAAAACAUGGGUCUAAAUGGGACUUGACAGUGCGACGAUUCGACCCAAAAUAAUAGUUUAAAAGGGUUUUGAAUGAAAAUUGGAGUCGCCACUUGGUAUUGAGUUAAGGUGUACCAAGUCACCUAAAAAAUAAAUUUUUUGAGCAAAAUUAUAGAAAAACCCUUUUAAACGACUCCUAACUCUACAAAAAUCAGAGAAAGUGUUCGGGAGUCACAUUUGAUGAGAGGGAAGGCAAGGACGAGUUCCAAGGCACCCUCUCAACCUAGCCAAGGCUAGUUGCGCGAUUUAGUCAAAGAUUUUCUUAUUUUUUAACCAAAAGAUUUAUCACAUUCGGAUGUACUAUAUGAAUGCAAAACCUAGACCUAGGGGGCAUUGGGGGGUAAAAUUUCUCUUCAAAGUUUGAAUGGUGCCAAUCACAUUAAUUGUGAUGCCCAAUAAUGACUCUUUGGAGAGGUCACGAAUAAUGCUAAUGACGUAAAAUGAGUGGAAUGAAUGUAUGCAAUGUGAAAAUAUGAGUUUGUGUGAAGUGGAAAAGUAAUAUAAAAAAUAAUAGUGUGUAAGUGGAAGUGUGCAAAUGGAUGUGCAAAGUAAGGUGAGUAAAGUGAUAGUAUGAAGUGCGUGUGUGCACGUGAUAGUCUAUAAAGUGUAAGUGGCAAAGUGAAAACGUGCAAAAUAAAAGUUGUGUGAAGUGAAAAUGUGGAAAAAUGGAUAGAAUAUGAAGUAAAAGUGCAUGUGAUAGUGGAUAAAUGAAAUGCAUGAAUCCUAGAGGAAUGCAAGCAAGACGGGUACGGGGGACUAAUGGUCGUGACUCAAUUUUCCCUUUUAAUAGAGGGAAUACGAGCGUGCUAAGGCUAGAAAGCCAAACUC